UUUUAAACUAUUUUUUCUAUUAGGAAGUAUAUACUAAUAUACUUAAAAAUGUACAUUUCAAAUGUUAUUAAAUAAAAUAAACUUGCACUGCGAGCUGAAUUUUUAAACUCAACUCUCUUACGCUCUCAUAAUUUCCGGUUGCCCCCGGUUCUUCUCCACCAACGCCUUGACGUCAUAAAACCAUUUACCUGCCGGGAAAACCAUACCAAGCAGUCCUUAAACGUCUGACAUCCCUCCAUGCUCGAUAGCACGCCGAAGACCGAG